CAAUAAAGACAAGGCUUCAGGCAGGUUAAAUAAGCAGUGGUUUUUUGUUAAGUUGUAAAUUGUCAUUAGGAUUUGUCUUACCAUAUUAGUUAAUUAUUAAUUGUGGAUGAUUGUAUGAUUUCUAAUUUUAAGUUCUUCUAUGUCUGUGUUGAUUAAGGGAUUCUACUGUGACAUUGCUGGCUAGGUAGAUUUGCUUAUAUUAAUAUGUUUAAAUCAGGUUGUAGGGUAGGCAGUUGUCCUUUUGUUGCUUCUGAAUCCUAUGAACUACAUAUUGCCUUAUAGGCAACCUAAUUCCAACAAAAUAAUUUUGAUUAAUCAUUUUGUGAAAUCCUGAAGAUCUGUUGAUAAUUAUGCAUUUUUUCCCCUUUUGGAGUUGAGAUUGAGAUGUACCAUAUCAUAGGUUUCUUAAGAGACAGUUUUCAUUUUUUUUUUCUCCUUGUUGUUUAGUUGUUUCUUCAAAGCAAAUACCUACUUGUUUUAGCAUGUGGAUGAUGUAGAAGGUAUCUAACUAUGUUAACAUAAAAAGUAUCUACACACGUUUGUGUUUCAUAAUUUAUAAUGAGAUUUCAUGCUGUAACAAUGCAUGCUGAAAUUUAUUAAUUUUGAAUAUAUUUUAUAGGCAGCUCGUGGUGGUGG
rnacentral:misc_RNA from 1 species